AGCAGAGUGGCGCAGCGGAAGGGUGCUGGGCCCAUAACCCAGAGGUUGAUGGGUCGAAACCAUUCUCUGCUA
rfam:Loxodonta africana unplaced genomic scaffold scaffold_182, whole genome shotgun sequence.